GGCCUGGUAGCUCAGCGGUCCAGAGCAGUCGACUCAUAAUCGAUUGGUCCUCGGUUCGAAUCCGAGCCAGGCCA
rnacentral:tRNA from 1 species